GAGGGGGUGCUAGCGUUAUUCGGAAUUACUGGGCGUAAAGGGUGUGUAGACGGCAUAUUAAGUCUGUUGUUAAAUUCUUCGGGCCUAACCGAAGGGCCUGCGAUAGAAACUAAUAAGCUAGAGGGUGAGAGAGAGAAGCGGAAUUCUCGGAGUAGCGGUAAAAUGCGUAGAUAUCGAGAGGAACACCGAUGGCGAAGGCAGCUUCUUGGCUCACUUCUGACGUUGAAACACGAAAGCGUGGGGAGCAAACAGGAUUAGAUACCCUGGUAGUCCACGCUGUAAACGAUGACCACUAGAUGUCAGUUCGGCUCUGCUGAAUUGGUGUCGUAGCUAACGCGUUAAGUGGUUCGCCUGGGGACUACGGUCGCAAGACUA
rnacentral:rRNA from 1 species